GACGAACGCUGGCGGCGUGCUUAACACAUGCAAGUCGAACGGAAAGGCCCUUCGGGGUACUCGAGUGGCGAACGGGUGAGUAACACGUGGGUGAUCUGCCCUGCACUUUGGGAUAAGCCUGGGAAACUGGGUCUAAUACCGGAUAUACCUCAUGGACUGCAUGGUUUGUGGGGGAAAGCUUUUGCGGUGUGGGAUGGGCCCGCGGCCUAUCAGCUUGUUGGUGAGGUUACGGCUCACCAAGGCGACGACGGGUAGCCGGCCUGAGAGGGUGACCGGCCACACUGGGACUGAGAUACGGCCCAGACUCCUACGGGAGGCAGCAGUGGGGAAUAUUGCACAAUGGGCGCAAGCCUGAUGCAGCGACGCCGCGUGAGGGAUGACGGCCUUCGGGUUGUAAACCUCUUUCAGCAGGGACGAAGCGCAAGUGACGGUACCUGUAGAAGAAGGACCGGCCAACUACGUGCCGGCAGCCGCGGUAAUACGUAGGGUCCGAGCGUUGUCCGGAAUUACUGGGCGUAAAGAGCUCGUAGGUGGUUUGUCGCGUUGUUCGUGAAAACUCACAGCUCAACUGUGGGCGUGCGGGCGAUACGGGCAGACUUGAGUACUGCAGGGGAGACUGGAAUUCCUGGUGUAGCGGUGGAAUGCGCAGAUAUCAGGAGGAACACCGGUGGCGAAGGCGGGUCUCUGGGCAGUAACUGACGCUGAGGAGCGAAAGCGUGGGGAGCGAACAGGAUUAGAUACCCUGGUAGUCCACGCCGUAAACGGUGGGUACUAGGUGUGGGUUUCCUUCCUUGGGAUCCGUGCAGUAGCUAACGCAUUAAGUACCCCGCCUGGGGAGUACGGCCGCAAGGCUAAAACUCAAAGAAAUUGACGGGGGCCCGCACAAGCGGCGGAGCAUGUGGAUUAAUUCGAUGCAACGCGAAGAACCUUACCUGGGUUUGACAUGCACAGGACGCUAGUAGAGAUAUCAGUUCCCUUGUGGCCUGUGUGCAGGUGGUGCAUGGCUGUCGUCAGCUCGUGUCGUGAGAUGUUGGGUUAAGUCCCGCAACGAGCGCAACCCUUAUCUUAUGUUGCCAGCGCGUAAUGGCGGGGACUCGUGAGAGACUGCCGGGGUCAACUCGGAGGAAGGUGGGGAUGACGUCAAGUCAUCAUGCCCCUUAUGUCCAGGGCUUCACACAUGCUACAAUGGCCGGUACAAAGGGCUGCGAUGCCGUGAGGUGGAGCGAAUCCUUUCAAAGCCGGUCUCAGUUCGGAUCGGGGUCUGCAACUCGACCCCGUGAAGUCGGAGUCGCUAGUAAUCGCAGAUCAGCAACGCUGCGGUGAAUACGUUCCCGGGCCU
rnacentral:rRNA from 1 species